rnacentral:tRNA from 1 species
GGAGAAGUGGCAGAGCGGUUGAAUGCAUCGGUCUUGAAAACCGACGUACUCGAAAGGGUAUCGGGGGUUCGAAUCCCUCCUUCUCCG